CAGAAAUUUUGACACGGCGUCGUUUUUCAACGACCUCUUCCCCGCUGUAAACUUUGUUCCAAUUUCCAAACCCCUUAGCCUGAGGAGAGAACUAAACCCUAAUUUUACAGAGAGAGAAAGGGCAAAGCAAACAGGCAUUGAAAUGAGCAACCGGCCUUUCGAUUCUCUUCCCCCGACGGAAAGCCUAGAAUUAGAGAACGGGCUUACGCUCGUGCCGCGCGUGAAGCUCAGCUUCACUAUCUACCCCACCAACCCAACCGUGACCAAACCAGUCGAUGAGUGGAAGCUAAAGCUUACUCUCAUAGACUUCCUCCAGACGUCUCUCUCCUCCCCCGUCACCGUCCCCGAAGAUGAUCUCGAGAUCCGGCGGGUCGGGGACCUCAAGAAACGCAAGCGCGAGGACCCCGUUGCCCAGGGCUCCAUUUGCAUCCGCGACUUAAGGUUUCUCAAUAGGACCACUAACCGGAGCAACGUGGAUGAAGAAGGAAAAGAAGAAGAGGAUGUGAAGGUCUUGGAGAAGAAGUACAUGGAUUGGAGAAAGUACAUCGUGGAGAAAAUGGACGGGAUGGAGUUGAAUCUUGAAGGUGUUAAGUACAGACUCAACGUCGCCGUUCCAGCGUCUGAUGAUUUCGAGGCAAUGAAGAAAGCUUGGGAGGAGUUUUACGCUUUUGGAAAUCGAGGGCAUUCUAGGAGCGGGAGGCAAGAGCCUGAUACUAUUGUAUUGAGGGGGCUACCGUCGCGUUGGUUUGCGGAACCACUGGUUUCAUCUAAGCCUUCGAUGUUGGUUACACACUCCAUUUUUUCUAGACUUGGGACUAUAAGGAAUCUUAAUGUUGCUGAGGACAAUGAUCUAGGUAAGGAAGCAGAGGAAAUUGUAAACAUAGUCUCAGGUCUUAGUUGUAAGAUUGUAGUCCAGUUCGAGAAAUUCAAGGACUUCUAUAAUGCCCUGAAGGUGUUAUCUGGCCGCUCAUUACAAAAGGUAGGAUGUUGGUUUCUUUGCACAGUAUCCUUUUAAUUUUGCAGGAGUUAUCUAGCAUGUCAUUUACUCUAUGAAUUAUGACUCAAGAGUUUUUACUUAUAAAAAAAAUUAUGACCGAGAGUAUAUACCUAUACCUGGAAGCAUCCUGCAUGUGAAUGUCAUGCCUGCUGGAUUAGUUCAGAUCUAGAAGAAAAUGAUAGAGGUUGAUUGAGUACUUACCUCCUUAGCGGAGCUAAGUUGUGAAAUCAUUACGUAUAAGCUUGUCAGAACUCAAGAAUUUAAAAAGGGAAUUGAUGGAGCUAGAGAUUCAGGAACUCAGCCGUGACAUGUGCAGCUAAACAUAUAGCUUGCUGUCGAGCAGCAAGGAUCUCGAUUGAAGGCUGAUUAUGAGGUUAAUUGGGACAAGGAUAGAAUGUUCCAAAAUUCAAGAAGUCACACGCAGGAAACUAGUA